rnacentral:rRNA from 1 species
GUGGGGAAUAUUGGACAAUGGGGGGAACCCUGAUCCAGCCAUGCCGCGUGUGUGAAGAAGGCCUUUUGGUUGUAAAGCACUUUAAGCGAGGAGGAGGCUACCGAGAUUAAUACUCUUGGAUAGUGGACGUUACUCGCAGAAUAAGCACCGGCUAACUCUGUGCCAGCAGCCGCGGUAAUACAGAGGGUGCAAGCGUUAAUCGGAUUUACUGGGCGUAAAGCGCGCGUAGGUGGCCAAUUAAGUCAAAUGUGAAAUCCCCGGGCUUAACUUGGGAAUUGCAUUCGAUACUGGUUGGCUAGAGUAUGGGAGAGGAUGGUAGAAUUCCAGGUGUAGCGGUGAAAUGCGUAGAGAUCUGGAGGAAUACCGAUGGCGAAGGCAGCCAUCUGGCCUAAUACUGACACUGAGGUGCGAAAGCAUGGGGAGCAAACAGGAUUAGAUACCCGAGUAGUCC